rnacentral:rRNA from 1 species
AACGAACGCUGGCGGCAUGCCUAACACAUGCAAGUCGAACGAGACCUUCGGGUCUAGUGGCGCAAGGGUGCGUAACGCGUGGGAACCUGCCCUUAGGUUCGGAAUAACUCCCCGAAAGGGGUGCUAAUACCGGAUAAUGUCUUCGGACCAAAGAUUUAUCGCCUUUGGAUGGGCCCGCGUUGGAUUAGCUAGUUGGUAGGGUAAAAGCCUACCAAGGCGACGAUCCAUAGCUGGUCUGAGAGGAUGAUCAGCCACACUGGGACUGAGACACGGCCCAGACGCCUACGGGAGGCAGCAGUGGGGACUAUUGGACAAUGGGCGAAAGCCUGAUCCAGCAAUGCCGCGUGAGUGAUGAAGGCCUUAGGGCUGUAAAGCUCUUUUACCCGGGAUGAUAAUGACAGUACCGGGAGAAUAAGCUCCGGCUAACUCCGUG